CCCUUAGAUGUUCUGGGCGGCCCGCGCACUACAAUGGCGCUUUCAGCGAGUUCCUAUGUUGAAUUUUCCUGGGUAUUCUUGGAAGCGGCGUCUUGACUUGGGAUAGAUCCUUGUAAUUGUUGGUUUUGAACGAGGAAUUCCUUGUAAUCGCGGUUGAUCAGCUCGCGUUGAAUACGUCCCUGCCCUUUGUACACACCGCCCGUCGCUCCUACCGAUUGGAUGAUCCGGUGAGCAAGUCUGACACGGGUUUUCCAGUUGACGGGGAAACUGUGGAUGUCUCGCAAACCUUAUUAUUUAGAGGAAGGAGAAGUCGUAACA
rnacentral:rRNA from 1 species